GCUAUAAUUACAAGACCCAACAUUGAAAUUAUUACAUAUCUGGGACUUGCCCAGAAACUUGAUCGGGCGUCCCAGUUUGUCUCUGGUCAAUUUCUCUGGAAGACCAGAGGAACUAGCUCCUUGCGUGGAGGCAUGUUCGUCAGCUGUGUUGGGACAGAAAUUUGUCGUAUGGGCUGUAGAGGAGCAGUAUGCACAAGCCGGUGUUCUUAGACCUGCAAAGUGUCUGCAAAAUAUGACGGUAUCUAUCCUUCCCCAGUUAGAUCUUGUUCCAUACUGGGAAAAUGCUCCAGACACUUUUGCAGAAAAAGACCUAUCCUAGUCAUAAAAGGCUGAACCACCAUAUUUGUUGCCCAGGUCUACCAGCUUGUGCAUAUAAAGAUCAAACUCCUCUCUUCUAUUGGGAUAGACCGCACAGAUGACAUUCCGGUAAAUACCAAAGGCCAGUACAAACUCGGGGAUAGUCAGAUAGUCAGCCACGGACGGCGAACAUAUGACCCUGUACCUCACAGUCAGCAGACACAUUCCAGCCAAUCAGCAGCAGACCCUCCCUCCCAG